UGCCUAUGAUGACUUCAAAUGCAUGUAUUGUCAGACAUUAUUGUGAUGAUUGCUAUCUGAUUGUCACUACCUCUGAGGCA